GAUGAAGAACGUAGUGAAAUGCGAUAAGUAAUGUGAAUUGCAGAAUUCAGUGAAUCAUCGAAUCUUUGAACGCACAUUGCGCCCCUUGGUAUUCCAUGGGGCAUGCCUGUUCGAGCGUCAUUUGUACCUUCAAGCUUUGCUUGGUGUUGGGUGUUUGUCCAUUCUCUUGCAGAGGGACUCGCCUUAAAGUAAUUGGCAGCCAGUGUUUUGGUUUUGAAGCGCAGCACAAGUCGCGAUUCAACGCUAUACGCCAGCUUCCACAAGCCUUUUUCACUUUUGACCUCGGAUCAGGUAGGGAUACCCGCUGAACUUAAGCAUAUCAAUAAGCGGAGGA
rnacentral:misc_RNA from 1 species